UCGAGAAUUUUUCACAAUGGGCGCAAGCCUGAUGGAGCGACGCCGCGUGGGGGAUGAAUGGCUUCGGCCCGUAAACCCCUGUCAUUUGCGAUCAAACGUUAUUGUUUAAGAGAUGAUAACCUGAUAGUAGCGAAAGAGGAAGGGACGGCUAACUCUGUGCCAGCAGCCGCGGUAAUACAGAGGUCCCAAGCGUUGUUCGGAUUCACUGGGCGUAAAGGGUGCGUAGGUGGCGGGGUAAGUCGGAUGUGAAAGUCCCGAGC
rnacentral:rRNA from 1 species